AACGAACGCUGGCGGCAGGCCUAACACAUGCCAGUCGAGCGGACCCUUCGGGGUUAGCGGCGGACGGGUGAGUAACGCGUGGGAAUAUGCCCUUCUCUACGGAAUAGUCCUGGGAAACUGGGGGUAAUACCGUAUACGCCCUUUGGGGGAAAGGUUUAUCGGGGAAGGAUUAGCCCGCGUUGGAUUAGGUAGUUGGUGGGGUAAUGGCCUACCAAGCCGACGAUCCAUAGCUGGUUUGAGAGGAUGAUCAGCCACACUGGGACUGAGACACGGCCCAGACUCCUACGGGAGGCAGCAGUGGGGAAUCUUAGACAAUGGGGGCAACCCUGAUCUAGCCAUGCCGCGUGAGUGAUGAAGGCCUUAGGGUUGUAAAGCUCUUUCAGCUGGGAAGAUAAUGACGGUACCAGCAGAAGAAGCCCCGGCUAACUCCGUG
rnacentral:rRNA from 1 species